GAAAAAGUUUCUGAUUGUGAAGGCAGUGAAAUCUACUUUCAGUGAUCAGAAUGCUACGGUAAGGAAGGCAGUUCUUCAUUUCAUCAGGACGCUGCUCAGCUCAGAAAGUGUGGAGAACUGUGCAGCAUGGGAUAUGGUAGCACAUGUUUUCAGGGAGUUCAGUGUGUCCAUCAGCAAACUGACUCUCCAGAGAACAUAAUGACGCCCAAUUCUGUGGCUGUUGAAGCAAACAUAAACUAUCAGCAAAACACCGAGGUUAUGCAGGCUGCAUCACAGACUGUCAAGAGCCUGGGAAAGCUUGCUGCAUAUUUCCCUCACUACAUGCUCUAAUCUACAUGUACUAGAUUUAAAAUAUCUUCAAUCCGUAUUUCUGUCCAUGGACACAGCCAGGGGCUCCAGACACUUUGUGCUCCAUGAGUGGAUCCAUGAUCUGUAUUAACAUAAACAGUCCAACUUUACAGUAAGUUGUUGAAGAUCUUAGCUCUGCCUGGCCUCUUUUCUACAAAGUUGGAGCUUGUGGCAAUACUCUCCAAGGGCCCCUCUCUCUCUCUCACACACACACCCACCCACCCCUUAAGGAAGGCUGCUUUUUCUUCUCGAGCCAGUUUUGCUCUCCUUUACAUUGAAAUCAGUAGAGUCAAUCAAUAUUUAGUCCGGUGUAAGUAAGAGCAGAAUUAGGCCAGUUGAUAGAAUCACACUCACUACAUACGAAAUGACCAAGCUGGUUGGGGCAUCAGAAAAAACAGAGUGGA